CUCUAUAUAUAUACUACUCCCCCGCCGCACACCUGCCUCCGACGCCGCCACACCCUGCGACGCCGACUCCUCGUCGCGGGCUCGCGGCACCGCCGCCCCGCCACGCCGCCGGGGCCUCCGACGCCGCCGCACCUCCGACGUGCUCCGAUGCCGCCGCACCUCCGACGCCACGGCACCCCGCGACGCCGCCGCUCCGUCCCGGCACCGCCGCCCCGCCACGCCGCCGGGGCCUCCGACGCCGCUGCACCUCCGACGUGCUCCGAUGCUGCCGCACCUCCGACGCCACGGCACCCCGCGACGCCGCCGCUCCGUCGCGGCACCGCCACCUCGCCAGCGCCUUCGACGCCAUCGUCUCUCCGAUGUGCUCCGAUGCCGCCGCACCUCCGCUGGGGCUCCACGUGACCGGGCACGGCGGCGACUCGCGGAGGAUGGCGGCGUGGCUCCGCGCCGAGCUGGAGCUGCUGGGCGUACCCUGCGUCGCGGCCGACUGGUGCCGGUGCGGGGACGCGCCGGCGCACGCGGCCGCCGUGGUCUUGUUGGUCAUCGUCACGCCAGUGACGCUCUGCAACCCCUACGCCGUCGAGGAGAUCCGGGCCUUCCUGGACCACGGCGCGCUCGUGCCGGUCUUCGUCAGCGUCACUAGGGGCGAUCUCGUCGCCGAUUCAUGGCGGGGCGCGGCGACCUGUGGGAGAAGUACGGGGGCAUCUUUGGAUAGCCUACGACGGGCCGGAGAGAAGUGGAGGGAGGCCGUGGAGGGCCUUUGCCCGCGUAGAACCGACGGUGGAAGUGCGCGUCGGCGACCUCGGUGACCGCGUCCUCGACGUGCUCGAGAUCCUCAGCGCGCAGCUGGAGCGGCGGGCCAUGGUCCCGGCCGUCAGAGCGUGGUGCGCCGAGGCGGACCUGGAGAUCCCGUUCCACUGGAAUCGGCGGCCGGGAGAAGGAGCUGCUCGACCUCGAGUCCAUGCUGCGCUGCGGCGCUCGUGCCCACGACAAGGCCGCCGGGAAGAGGCCGAUGCAUCCGAGCGUCGCCUCUGUCGGGAGUGGCCCUUGCUGGACGGCGUGGUCUGCAUCUCCGGCGCGUCCGGCGCUGGGGCUCGAGUUCACGCACCGGCACCGGCACGAGUACAAGAAGGUGCUCUGCUGGGUGCACGGCGAGGCGAGGUACCUGCGCCAGAGCUACCUCAAGCUCCCCGACCACCUCGGCAUCGCCGUCGGCGAUAGCUUCCUCCUGCAGUCGACAGGGUGGAGGGCCGCCGCCAGGAGCCUCCAUGACAUCGAGGGCGACGCCAUCGCCAAGAUCAACAACGAGCUCGCCCGCGAUCCGUGCACCAUGCAGCUCGUCCGCGGCCGUGCGCCUGUGCAAACGUCGGCAUCCUCACCGUAGCUGCAGGUCGUCCAAAUACCUUUUUUGUUGUUUGCAGAUUAACGAACGGGGUGAUGCGGGUGCACUCUCUGUAUUUGGGUAAAUGCCCCAGCGAAGUUGGAGUCCCGGCAGGCCAAGCAUCGUUGUUCAUUUAUGUAGUCUGUGCAGGUUAGCUGACAGAGCAAGAAAAGGGUUCAACCUGAACUAGAGAUGCGAAGAUAUGCUGCAUUAUGCAGGUUCUUGAUCCUGCACUGCCUCUACGAUUUAUGAUCUAAAAGAACCAUGUGACAUAGCCUUGUUUGUGAUGAGAUUUGACCUAGGUUUAGGAUUUUGUGCGUUGUUUCCUAUAAAAAAUUUCAGCUUGAUUUAUUUUUAUAGCUUCAGUUUUGCAAGUGACUUAUUAUUUAAAGCCAUCUCCGUUGCGUUUAGAGAGCAAGAGAGGAGAGAGAGAGAGAGCAAAGGCGAAGCAGCCAACAACGUUCUGGGGAGAUGAAGCUCUUGAUAGAAUUGGGAUGUAGAUGGAAUUUGUAUUUCAUAAAUGGUGGCUAAUUGCAUAAAAACAAACUAUAAGUUUCCAGACUUGAUUUUGGUUAUUUAAGUUUCCAAACAAUUUAUGUGGCCCAUUCUGAUUUUGGUUCGUUUCUAUCCUAACUUGGUGUUUGCAUUAUGGGUGCAGACUAAGCUCAUCAAGGAGUGGGAAAACUACCGGUUGAUGGAUCCUGCACGUUAUGGCUUUUCUGGAACAAUGGUAUUUCUGAAGCAUAGGUGAGUUAUGGUUACUUACUAUUGUAGGACCAUUGUUGCUUCAUGAAUUUGACAAUUGUGCCAUAUCUGUUGACACUAUCUAUAUAUUGACUGACUUUUCUGUUCCUGGAUAUGUAUUGAUGUCUUAUAUCCCGCUGGCCUAAUGAUACAUAGGUCAUCCUUUCUGGUUAGUUCACAUCACAUGAUGUUUGGAGUUGCAAACAUGGACUUGAUGACAAUGAAAUAUUUAAAAACUUCUAUUAGAAGAUGCAAUUACUUUCUCCAUCCGAUCUGAAUUUAUUGCCUCAUCCAAUGUGAAAUGUCUUUUAUUGAAACAUCAUGUGAAUUUGGUUGUUUCACAUGCCGUUCUUAUAUCAGGCAUAAUGUUGAGUGCUAUCAAAGGUUGUCAUUCUUCUUCUUAUUGGGAUGUUUCAGCCACUGUUCUCAUAAAUUACUGAAGCUAAUAAUGCUUUAUGUUCCCGUUUUCAAUAGCUGCAUACAUUGUAUACUUACUCCUGUAGGGUGAUAAUAUUUUCAGGGCAACAUUAAUUUACACUACUGUUAUGAUGCUUAAUGCAAUUGCUCAUGAAUGACAAUUAAGUCAGCAGUAUAAACAGAACGAGAAUGUAAGUCCAGAAAGUUAUGCAUCCACCACAUACUGUAGACAUUCAUAUUGUGGCUAAGAAUCGAUCUGUCACCUUCAAGAUUGUAUUGCCUGAACCUGUGCCAGGGGAUAAUUGGUUUUGGCCCUUGUGUGUACACGAUAUAGUUAUUUGUCUGAAAGAAGUGCAUGAAACUAAUUUGAUCUAAUUGAUUAUAGCCCGAUUCAAAUUUCGUAGCACUAGCUUUUCAGAUAAAUCUGGGACCAUGGUAUGAAUAAACUACAUGGAAAAACUAGCUUACAUGAACUUAUCUGAAUAUGUUUUAACUUAAAAAUUGAUUAUAUAGAACGAUUCUUUACGAUAGAUAUAGUAUAUUACUCUACCUACAAGUUACAAGAUCAUAUUUAUUUGUAGGAUAAUAAUCGAAUGGAUGAUGGGUCACUCAAGUCAAACAAUAGUUUACCAACAAAUGUUUUUGUAACAUUUACCAGCACAGCUUGUGUGAGUUAUGCGGUUAUCCAGUCGAGGAUUGUUUUCAUGCCUGCAUUAGCUGGUUGCAUGCCACAACUCUUUGUUAUGCUACGAGGAACACUGGUUAUUACCAAGUAGGAGGAUGUGGCUCAUACUGGUGAUGAGUGAUUGAUGGUUCUUACUAAUCAGUAUCAGGCUGAGGUAACUGCUAAUUUCCUCAUGCUUAUAUGGAGAAUUUGGAUUUUUAAAAUAAUAUCUUGCACCGCCGGGUGCAAAAAUUUCAGUAGAUGGUUCUAUUGUCUUUCUAACAUGUUGUAUAGAAUCAUUAUAUGAAAUCCGAGAUCCGCCAACUGUGAUUAAGCAGAAAAGCAGUGCAAUCUGAUUAGGUCUGAAGUUCCAACUGUGAUAAAGCAGAAAAGCCAUGUUCAGAGAUAGAUUCCACAAGCUACAGAUACUUUCAAAAUUAAUGUAGCCGGUUGUGGGGAUCAUCAUUAGGGACCAUGAGGGGCAACAAACUAAUAGCUUGGUGAGGAUUCUAUUUCACUGUAGGGACCCAAAGGAGGCUGAUGCUACUGCAUUAUGGGAGGGUGUUUGUCUGGACCAAUGUUGGCACAUAUCCUUAGUGCGCCCUUGAGGAAAGGCGACAGCUAGAGCACGAGUUAGAGUUUGCCUUUUUCUUUCUUCUAUUUUCCAGAGUGCGUGAGGACUCCUAUCUGUAAUUAUAUUUUUUUAACAUUAAUAACUAUCUUAUUCUGCAAAAAAGUUUGUUCAUUGAAAUAUAAAGUUUGUUUUUUAGGUUUAAAAA